rnacentral:rRNA from 1 species
GAAACCCUGAUGCAGCAACGCCGCGUGAGUGAUGAAGGCCUUCGGGUCGUAAAGCUCUGUCCGGAGGGAAGAAAUGGGAAUGGCUAAUAUCCUUGUUCCUUGCCGGUUCCUGCCCAGGAAGCCCCGGCUAACUCCGUGCCAGCAGCCGCGGUAAUA